rnacentral:rRNA from 1 species
AUUGAACGCUGGCGGCAGGCCUAACACAUGCAAGUCGAGCGGAUGAAGGGAGCUUGCUCCUGGAUUCAGCGGCGGACGGGUGAGUAAUGCCUAGGAAUCUGCCUGGUAGUGGGGGAUAACGUCCGGAAACGGGCGCUAAUACCGCAUACGUCCUGAGGGAGAAAGUGGGGGAUCUUCGGCCCUCACGCUAUCAGAUGAGCCUAGGUCGGAUUAGCUAGUUGGUGGGGUAAAGGCCUACCAAGGCGACGAUCCGUAACUGGUCUGAGAGGAUGAUCAGUCACACUGGAACUGAGACACGGUCCAGACUCCUACGGGAGGCAGCAGUGGGGAAUUUUGGACAAUGGGCGAAAGCCUGAUCCAGCCAUGCCGCGUGUGUGAAGAAGGUCUUCGGAUUGUAAAGCACUUUAAGUUGGGAGGAAGGGCAGUAAGUUAAUACCUUGCUGUUUUGACGUUACCAACAGAAUAAGCACCGGCUAACUUCGUG